rnacentral:misc_RNA from 1 species
UUAAAUUCUAAUUAGUUUAUAAAUGAAAUCGAUACAUGUGUUAACUCUCUAUAUCUUCUUUUCAUGCGUGCAAGUUUUUAAUUAGAUCCGCUGUAGCUCGAGUGAUCAUGAACACCUUUAAGCAGCAGAUAUACCCUGUUGGUGUCACGUGGAAGAUUGUCCCAUAUGAAACCAAGGACUUUUAUUGGGAGGAAUUCAAGGAAACUUAUAUUUAAUUUUUUUAUAUUUUAAAAUAUAGAAAUCACUAAAAAUAUGUAUUAGUGUAUGCUGUAGAAAAAAUAUUGCUGGACUACUGCUAAGGAAUUAGGGGUAAGGGCUUGCUAGCAAUCAAAGG